CUCCAUCUUUUAUCUUGAAGACUCAAAUUCUUCCGUGCCACACACCCUAUG
rnacentral:tRNA from 1 species